ACGGGUGAGUAAUACCUAGGAAUCUGCCUGGUAGUGGGGGACAACGUUUCGAAAGGAACGCUAAUACCGCAUACGUCCUACGGGAGAAAGCAGGGGACCUUCGGGCCUUGCGCUAUCAAAUGAGCCUAGGUCGGAUUAGCUAGUUGGUGAGGUAAUGGCUCACCAAGGCUACGAUCCGUAACUGGUCUGAGAGGAGGAUCAGUCACACUGGAACUGAGACACGGUCCAGACUCCUACGGGAGGCAGCAGUGGGGAAUAUUGGACAAUGGGCGAAAGCCUGAUCCAGCCAUGCCGCGUGUGUGAAGAAGGUCUUCGGAUUGUAAAGCACUU
rnacentral:rRNA from 1 species